rnacentral:lncRNA from 1 species
UCCAAAUACAAACCAUCUUUUAAGUAGAAAAUUUUAAUUUUGCCUCAUUACAAGUCACUUGGUAUUUCCAAUUAUAUCUCCACUAUGCAAAAUCUUUGAUCUCAAGAGAAUAAUACAAUGAGACCCCCAACAGUGGUUAAACAAAGCAUCAUUGUUAACAAUGGACAUCUCAACAAGGUUGACACCUCCAUUGAAGCUAAUCAUUUGCUUAACCAAAGCUCCAAAAUCACCAAUAAUUGAUAAGAAGUCUACUAAAGAAACACCAACAUUACAACAGCUAUGAACAGAAAAGCAUGAGAAUCCCCCGAGACAAAGCAAAACAGCAGCUGCAAACAUAGCUUAGCUUGAGAAGAGCCUCCAAAGGUUGAAAACUUGCAAUCUGCCCCAUAAAAGAAACAGCCCAAAACAGAGUAUAAGCAAAACACUCAACAUCGCAUUUGAACAGCUAUACACGAACCGCACCUUGUACAACUUUGUGAGCACUCCUCCCAAAUACCCUGCAUCCAACAAACUUUGAACAUUAUACAGUAGGCCAUCAACUGGAACAGAGAAACCUUAGAUCUGUUCACAUUCUUCAAUGCUAUGCUUGAAACUUUAUUCCUUUUCAGAGAAAUCCAUCAAUAAACUCCAGAAGGCUAAUCACGUCUAUGCUGAUGUUGAAAUAUCCAUAUGACCCAGUUCUGACCCCUCUAUAUUAUUUAUAAGGCUUAUAUUUUUAUCUCCUUAAUACUUGAAUUUUAAGAAGAAAGAUGGACUGAGCCUUUCUAGUGAUAUUAAAGCAAGAUUGGGUCUAUCGAGUGUCCGGCUGCCCUAGGUCAGGGGGUGUAUUGAAAUGUCCCACGUUUCCUUAAAACCCAAGUAUUAAAAAGCCCUGGACCAAUACAGUGACAUUUCAACACACUGGGCGAUGUGAG